UUCCAAAAAAACAAUUUCGCGAUUCAUUAUUGUUCUGCUUCUAUGAUUUCCAUUGUGAUUCUGUUUUUUAAGAAAGUUAUUAUUAUGGCGUCUCGAUCAGGAGCUCUUCCGAUGGCGGCAGAGAAUGUGGAUUUAGGUUGAAAUAUCUCUUUCAUCUUUCCAAGAUCGAGUAUCUUUUUCAUUCUGCGUGUUGCGAUUUUCAAUUGAAGCAUCUAAUUUUAACUGUUCUUUGUGAUUAGUGGAGGAAUUUUAGGGCAAUGUCAGUGAGUGAGUUGAAUUGUUGCUAUCGAUGUUGAAACUAAGAAUUUCUUCGAGUUAUUAAUUGAAGUGUCAUGUAUGCUUUUCAAGACUAGGAUUCUCGUUUAACGUCGGUUCAAAGAAUCUUGAAAAGAGAUUAUAUUAUCACUGUUGAGCUUCCAGGAUCGUUCCAUCAGCUACCCACUUCGUUUUCAAGUAUCACACGAAAGAUUGAUAUUCUGCACGAAGCUUGUUAGUUGGAUUAUUGGACUCUGAUUGGAUUCCGAUUGCUAAUUAUAUGCAAGCUUUGGAAUUAGUGACAACUAUCGAAACUAUUGAUUCUGGACUACAUAUUAUGAACAUAAUGCUUGGAGAUGCUUUUCUACCACUUCAAAAGUUUCCACGUGAUAGAAGUACUUGGUAUCUUCAUUUUGGCCACAGGGACUGACAAACAACAAAAAGAGGUUCAGCAAGGUGGAAAAGCUAGAGUUGAUAAACUAAAUUCUACAACCCCCUUGAUUGUCAACCUUGAACCUGUUCAACAAGUACAAAAUGGUGUGAAGUUCCUUUCAUAUCCCAAAGUAAGGGGCUCUCCCGUCAUCUAAAGAAGAUCUUUUCUUGAGCAGAAUGGCUUGCAAAGGAGGAGAUAGAUUAAGCAUUUAGGCACGUGCCUGUAAGCAAAUGUCUUAUUCUAUCAGUCAUAUAUGCUUGAUUUUUGUCAUCCUAAACUUGUGUACCAUGGAUUGCGAUUUACAUGCUUUUCAGUUAUCUGUCCGACCUAUCUCAAUAUUACAAUUAGUCACCACUGAUAGUAACACUGUACCCGAAUUUUAUUCUAAUGGGCAAAUCCCAGGACCCACCUCCAACAGCAGUGAUAUCUAGUGGGAGUCAAGGUAAUUUAUGGACUUGAGCCAGUUAUUUUGACAUGAAUUUUUUGAAUUACUUCAUCCAGUAGCUUUAUAGUGAACAGAUGAACGGGUGAAAUCACCUUCAAACAAUCACCUACAAGCUUCAGUACAAACUUUUCUGCCUUCAGCUAGUGCACCCGUUGCACCCCCCAUGGUUGUUUCAUCAUCGGCUACAUUGAAGUGGUCUGAUAUAGCUGUAGGACUCCUGUCGUUUUCAGGUGCUGGAACAACUUUCAUAAUUAAAGCAAGAGAGAUCGACAACGAAAUAGUUCCAAGAUUGAAAUCCUGGAUCCGCAUGUUUUUAUACGAUGGACAUGAAGAUAUUGUAAAAGGAGAUAGUUCCAUAUCAAGUUUGGUAGAAGAAGCAGCUUCAGAAGCGCCAAUUGAUGUAGCAAGAGCAAGCCAGGAUAUGUUGAACUCAAACUGCCCUAUCUCAUAUUCUUCAAAAUACCGGCUAACUAUCAUCUUUACCCAUCCCUAUUCACAUUUUUUUUCUGCAUACUGUAAUUAUCAGAGAUUAAUUGUGAUGAUCGAACCUCAUUUUGUACGUUGCCAGAGAUUCGAAAAUUGAGGAAAUUAUUUUUUUAUUACAUAUGCAACUACGGAAAAUGAAGACUCUGACAAGUCUCUUGUUGGGUUCGGAAGGCGAUUCAAAACGAACAAAUUAUUCUGGUGUAAGAGCAUGUGGUAACUCCAAUCCUUUACACAAAUUGCAGAGCCAGGGGGGAAGUUUUUAUUCCACGAUGCAGAAUUAUGGGACGAACUAUCAGUGGAACGAAAGUAUCAAAGUUAUAAAAAUACUGUAAGUAUACUUCUAUAGCAUUGUAAUUAUCAAAAUUUCUAUCCACAAUAGACUAUAGAUCUCAGGCUGCUCAUCUAUUUUGAGGUGAUGGGUGUCUGUACGUUUAUCUAUUUUUAGGCAACAAAAGUGUCAGUAUGUGCAUUGACAUGUUUGUUACUAUGCAUUCUAAACAACAUGUGACAACUGCAUUUUUCUCACAUAGUUAUUUGACAACUUAGAUA